rnacentral:tRNA from 1 species
AUCUUGUUAGAAUAGCUCAGUUGGUUAGAGCGUGGUGCUGAUAACAUCAAGGUUGCAGGUUCGAUCCCCAUAUGGGACA